UACGUAGGCAGCAAGCGUUGUUCGGAGUUACUGGGCGUAAAGGGUGCGCAGGCGGCUUUUUAAGUUUGGUGUGAAAUCUCCCGGCUCAACUGGGAGGGUGCGCCGAAUACUGAGAGGCUAGAGUGUGGGAGAGGAAAGUGGAAUUCCUGGUGUAGCGGUGAAAUGCGUAGAUAUCAGGAGGAACACCGGUGGUGUAAACGGCUUUCUGGACCAUAACUGACGCUGAGGCACGAAAGCGUGGGUAGCAAACAGG
rnacentral:rRNA from 1 species